rnacentral:misc_RNA from 1 species
GAUGAAGAACGCAGCGAAAUGCGAUAAGUAAUGUGAAUUGCAGAAUUCAGUGAAUCAUCGAAUCUUUGAACGCACAUUGCGCCCGCCAGUAUUCUGGCGGGCAUGCCUGUCCGAGCGUCAUUUCAACCCUCGAACCCCUCCGGGGGGUCGGCGUUGGGGAUCGGCCCUGCCUCUUGGCGGUGGCCGUCUCCGAAAUACAGUGGCGGUCUCGCCGCAGCCUCUCCUGCGCAGUAGUUUGCACACUCGCAUCGGGAGCGCGGCGCGUCCACAGCCGUUAAACACCCAACUUCUGAAAUGUUGACCUCGGAUCAGGUAGGAAUACCCGCUGAACUUAAGCAUAUCAUAAGCGGAGGA